GCCAGAGGUGCCGAGCGUUAGGCGGAAUCACUGGGCUUAAAGCGUGUGUAGGCGGGUCGUUAAGUGUCUUGUGAAGUCCCACCGCUCACCGGUGGAACGGCUGGGCAUACUGGCGACCUUGAGAGGCCUAGGGGCAGACGGAACAAGCGGUGGAGCGGUGAAAUGCGUAGAUAUCGCUUGGAACGCCGACGGCGAAAGCAGUCUGCUGGGGGCCUCCUGACGCUGAGACACGAAAGCCAGGGGAGCGAACGGG
rnacentral:rRNA from 1 species